AACGAUGAUGCCCGCUGUUGCGAUACACAGUCAGCGCCAAGCGAAAGCGUUAAGCAUCCCACCUGGGGAGUACGCCGGCAACGGUGAACUCAAAGGAAUUGACGGGGGCCCGCACAAGCGGAGGAACAUGUGGUUUAUUCGAUGAUACGCGAGGAACCUUACCCGGGCUUGAACUGCCAGCGAACGAUUCAGAGAUGAUGAGGCCCUUCGGGGCGCUGGUGGAGGUGCUGCAUGGUUGUCGUCAGCUCGUGCCGUGAGGUGUCGGCUUAAGUGCCAUAACGAGCGCAACCCCUUUCUCCAGUUGCCAUCAGGUCAUGCUGGGCACUCUGGAGACACUGCCACCGUAAGGUGUGAGGAAGGUGGGGAUGACGUCAAAUCAGCACGGCCCUUACGUCCGGGGCUACACACGUGUUACAAUGGGGAGUACAGAGAGUCAAGUGCCGGCAACGUCACUUUAAUCAAUAAAACUCUCCUCAGUUCGGAUUGGGGUCUGCAACCCGACCCCAUGAAGCUGGAUUCGCUAGUAAUCGCGCAUCAGCCAUGGCGCGGUGAAUACGUUCCCGGGCCUUGUACACACCGCCCGUCAAGCCAUGAAAGCCGGGGGCGCCUGAAGUCUGUGACCGCGAGGGGCGGCCUAAGGUGAAACUGGUGAUUGGGGCU
rnacentral:rRNA from 1 species